rnacentral:rRNA from 1 species
GAUGAACGCUGGCGGCGUGCCUAAUACAUGCAAGUCGAGCGAACAGAUAAGGAGCUUGCUCCUUUGACGUUAGCGGCGGACGGGUGAGUAACACGUGGGUAACCUACCUAUAAGACUGGGAUAACUUCGGGAAACCGGAGCUAAUACCGGAGAAUAUUUCGAACCGCAUGGUUCGAUAGAGAAAGAUGGUUUUGCUAUCACUUAUAGAUGGACCCGCGCCGUAUUAGCUAGUUGGUAAGGUAACGGCUUACGAAGGCGACGAGACGUAGCCGACCUGAGAGGGUGAUCGGCCACACUGGAACUGAGACACGGUCCAGACUCCUACGGGAGGCAGCAGUAGGGAAUCUUCCGCAAUGGGCGAAAGCCUGACGGAGCAACGCCGCGUGAGUGAUGAAGGUCUUCGGAUCGUAAAACUCUGUUAUUAGGGAAGAACAUACGUGUAAGUAACUGUGCACGUCUUGACGGUACCUAAUCAGAAAGCCACGGCUAACUACGUG